CUGCUUGUUAGCAUAACAACACCUAUUCAAACCUUUCAAUAUGUCUAGCCACAUUUUUUUUCAUUAAUAAAACCACCAAUGUCAUUGUUCCACACACCCAGUCCUCCAUCCAACUAACAUGCCCGAAUUUUCCAGCAUGAAAGGUGCAAUUCAAGGUGUGACUAACAAGAUACAACAAAGGCUCCAAAUAUGUCACAUAAUAACUACACGACAUCAAGGAACUUUCAUAUGAACCUGAUGUCAUAAAUUCACCAUUAGAUGAUAUUGAUUUAGUUAUCCACACACUUAACGACCUUGAUCCAUAGUACAAAAAAAUACCGGCUUCUCUUUGUACAUCUUAUUCACCUUCAUCAAAUAAAGAAGACGAUAACACUCUUCCAAUUGCUCAUAUAGGAUUUGAAGACAAUGGAGCCUCUUCUCAAAGGACUGGGUGUUGGUGAUUUUAGUAUCAUCAAUGUAUUUUAGUAGUAAUGUGAUUUACUAGAGGCCGAUGCAAUUGUGCGUUAAGCUUGAAGCAAGUCAGGAUAGUGCGGAGUGCAUGCUCGUCGAGCCAAAGUGUAAUUGAAUACGAAUAAUUGAAACGGGGUUCCAAGGGGCGGAGCCCCUGGCGGGGUACGAGGCAGCGCCCCGUCGGGGUCCUAGGGGCAGAUCCCUUGGCUGGGGUCCCACUGAACAGUUGUGUCUUUUCGGUUUCUGUUAUUGUUCUCCUACAUAAGGAGUCAUUUGGCCUCGAUUUUGGACACACGAAAAACUAUACUUUCUCUCUACAUUCCUGAUCAGUUCUCUUUUUCCAGAAACAGAUUGUUCUUCGAGAAUUAUCCCCACAAAGAUUUCGUGAACCCAUGCAAGAAUAGGGUCGAAAUACUUUGUUCGGAAAGUGUACGAACACGAUUCUUAGAAGUUAUCCAGGAUUAUCAUACCCGAAAUUCUAACACUGCGUAGCCACAAACUCUGCCAUCUACCUCACUCCAUCAACUAUCCAAUGACCUUAUUCAUCAACUUCUCAUCCCAUCCACCAUAGCACCAUAUUCUUGGCCAUCCUAGUGAAAGAAUAAUGAGACAUCUUAUUUCCCUUCAUCAAAUCAAGUUGACCAAUUCAUCACCAUGUAUUUUCUCCGGCCUGAAUUAUAAGAAAAUAUUCUCUUUUUAGGUUUAUUGACUAAUGAAUGUAUCUUGUUUGCAUAAAGACCAAAUACAUUUAUUAUUCAAUAAACUUAAAAAGAGAAUAUUUGCUUAUAAUAAUGGACAGAGGGAAUACCUCUUGUUAAAGUUCCAAAAGCCAUAUGCUUUCUUUUACUUCUUCUUGUAUUAUAAGCAAUAGGCCAUAAAACUUAUUUACAGUGAUGUAUGGGGCUCUGCUCCUAUUAGAUCCUUAGAUGACUACUUAUAUUAUUUAAUAUUUAUAGAUCAAUUUCUCUAAAUAUAUUUGGCUAUAUCCAAUAAAAAGAUAAGUCUGAUGCCUCUGAUAUUUUUCCACAACUCAAAGCCAUAUAUUGUUGAAAAGUUUUUCAAUUUACCAAUCAUUACACUUUAUUUAGGAAAUGGAGGUGAAUAUAUUAAACUUAAACAAUUUUUCUAAAUAAAUGGCAUAUCUAGCCAUCUAGGAUAUCAAACCCAUAAUUUCUCCCAACUGAGGUAAGAAAUAUUUUUCUUAGUAGUAAUUGCAUAUGAAGUUAGAUAUUAUCAUAUAAUCUAGGAUAUCAAACCCACAACAUUGAUGUAUAAGUGAGAGUAAAUCACUCUUUUGGAAUUUUUAAUGUUUUUGGAAUUGUUGUCAUUCAUUUGGCUCCAAUUUUUUUCUUGGAAUGAAUCAUGUUCCUUGUAUUGGAUUGUAUUAUUCUGAGAUCUAAAUUAUUGUUCUUUAUUUUUCUAGUAGUUUUAUCCUAAUAAUCAUGGCUAGUUUGUGAAAACUUGACUUUUCAAGGAGUAAUUGGUAUACUUGUUACUGAUUAAUUAAAAGAAAAGUAGUUGUCACUAAGUUAAAAUCAUCUCAUUCAAACCGAAGGGUUGGAUGGUCCUAAACUCGCUCAAGGGUCAAAAUUAUAUCCAUAAAAAAUCAAAAUAUCCUUAAAAAAUAAAAUAUAUAACAAUGAAAACAAUUCACACCCAUACAUAUUACAUCUUCGAUAUUAGCUUUGAUCAUAUAAUUGUUUAAGCAAAAAAAUUAUCAUAUGAAACUUUUAAUUUAAAAUAAAUGCUAACAUCAAAGGAACUUUUGAUGCAUUUUCUUUCCAAUCAAUUCUUUUCAAUAUUCAUCAUGAGUAUUACUAUUUCUAUUGGGGGACUUUUUUUUUUCUUUUUUUAAAUAAUUCCAUUUUUGUUAUAAAGAUAAUAUAAUUUUUAAAAAGAUAAUAUAAAGUUAUAUUUUCUAUUAUGACAUUUAUAAAUAAUUCCAUUUUUGUACAUGGCUUCUUGCAAUUUCUAAGGGGUAAAAAUUAUAUAUUUAAAUUUAACAAAGUAAGAAAUGAAACUUAAAAAUGAUCAAACAUAUUUCUAUUUUCUUCAUGCAAAAUUAGAAAAAUAUGACUCAAAUUCCCAAAAUUGUUUAUGGUUUGAUAAUCUUUCUCUCUCUAUUUGUUGAAAUCUAUGGAGGUUAUUUUCUUUGCAAACAUUGGUGGCAUUGUCCAAAAAAUUUGUGUUUCCGUCCUCAACGUAGGAAAUGUGUUGAUUUCUAUUGUGAAUGUGGGUAAAGCAUAAGAAUCAAGUAGAUAAAAAUUUUGCAUGAGUUUGUUGAUAUGUUAAUAUAUAUGAAUAAAUAUUAGUGUACCCUCAAGGAAUAAUUUGUUAGAACAAAAAUCUAUAUAGAAGAUUAAAGAAAUAAAAAUAAAAGACAAUAAAUAUGAUCGAUUUUUGUCGAAAUGACUCGGCAUAUAGUAUUUAUCUCUACGACUAUAAAAGAGUUAUAAUUCCUUUUUAUUUUUGUAAUACGAUUCAUUUUUAAAAAAAUACUCCUCAACUUGUACCGCGCGGAUGGCUUCUCACCUUCUCACAACAAACAAUUGCUUUUCAGACAUGUAUGAGUCAAAUGCAAUGGUCCAUUAAUUCUUUAAGUAUAUAUAUCUUGACCAUUAAUUCUUUUUAAUCUAAUGGUUAAAAAAAAUAAGGAAUUAAAUGUGGAGA